GUUAGCUCAGUGCUAGAGCACUUGCCUAACAUGUGCAGGGCCUCAGCACCCAAGGGAUAGUCUUAAAGGAAAACAUGUCAUCCUUUACCUUUGAAUCCUAGAUACUUUAACCUGAAUGAGAAUGAGAAACCUGUCUUCAUCAGGACCUCAGACAUCUAACAGCUUUGUGCACACCAAGACAAGUAAUGUAUAUAGUCCUUCUUGUUAUAUAUUUCAGCUCAGAUGGGUGGAAGAGCUUAAAAUUAUGGAGGGAAUUGGGGUUGUGGCUCAGUGGUAGAGUACUUGCCUACUAUGUGUGAGGCACUGGGUAGAGACAAAUGCUUAAAAUCCAACUGUCAUUUUUUUAGAGCUGUGCUGUACAAUACAUAUGGCUAGUUAAGUUGUAAAAAUGAAAUAAACCAGUUUUUCAAUCUCAGUAUCUGUUUGACUAGUGACUACCAUAUUGGACAGCUAGGACAUUUCACCAGUACAAAAAGUUUAUUGUAUACUCUUAGAGCAGAGAUCUGCAAACAUCCUGAAAUGGGCCAGAUCAUAAAUAUUUUAGGCUUGUGCAGCCAUGUGGUCUUUGUAACUAUGCAAUUGUAGUGUGAAAGCAACCUUAGUAUGUCAACAAAAAAACAUGGCUAUGUUUCAGCAAAUUUUAUUUAUGAGCACUGGACUUGGAAUUUCAUAAAAAUCGAGUGUCACAUUUUUUCCAUUCUUAUUUUUGGGGGCCAUUCAAAAACAGGUUACACCGGGUGUGGUGGCUUGGGGGGCCUUAACAGGGCUGGGGAUGUGGCUCAAUGGCCCCUGGGUUCACUCCCUGGAACACCCCCACCCACCCUUAAAAAAAUAAUUUUAAAAAUUAGGUUGUAGCCUAGACAUGCACAGUUUCAGCUACUCAGGAUACUGAGGCAAGAGGAUUGCAAAUUCAAGAUCAGUCUGGGCAACUUGGUAAGACUGCCUCAAAAAAAUAAAAAGGGCUGAGGAUAUAGCUCAAGUGAUAAAGUAUCCUGGGUUUAAUUCCUAGUACCACAGACAACAAAACCCUGUAGGCCGGGCUGGGGAUGUGGCUCAAGCGGUAGCGCAUUCGCCUGCCAUGCAUGUGGCCCGGGCUCCAUCCUGAGCACCACAUACAAACAAAGAUGUGUCCACCAAAAACUAAAAUAAAUAAAUAAAUAAAUCUUAAAAUUAAAAAAAAACAACCACACUGUAGGCCGAAAGCUAGAAUUGGCCUGUGGGAUAUGGUUUGGUGACCCUGUUCUGUAGAUUAUUUGGGCCUUGAAUCAAAUAGCUCAUUAGUUCAGCGUUACCAGUGUGUCCCACUUAAAAUUCCGUGUUAACAGUACUUUUUUCCCUAUAUCCAUACACUCUUUUUUCAUCUCUUAGAGGUAACUGAAGUAAAUUAGUUCUUGUUUCUUUUGAUGGGAAUUGUUUGCUGGGCAUACUUUUAUCAUAGUGGUUCUCUCCGUUUUUAAUGCACAUCUUGGGGAGAUCUUAAGAAAGAAAAUAGCCAGCAGAGCCUUUGAUCAUGAACUUUGUCCUAGGUAGUGAAACAGAAAAAGAAAAUUUUAUGUCAUUGGUAGCUCCAUGGGAUUUGGGUGGUUUUUGUUGUUGAUGGGGGUGGGGAUCCUGGGGAUUGAACCUAGGGCUGUGCUCUGCCCCUGAGCUAUUAGUCCUCUGUAGGCCUUUAAAUCUGGGGUCUCAAUUCCUGACCACAGAUAGGGCUACCCUUGUACAGAGAAGAGGAGAGGUUCCUAAGUCACCACUUAAAAAGGGAUAAUUUGGUGUUUGUGGACCUAUAAUAAUAUCCCAAGAGGUUUCAAUGACAUAAAAUCAUGCACAGAUUUCCUAAUUGAUAACAGUUGUUUCUCUUUUUUUUCCAGCAAAUUUAUGUCCUGUUGUCUUAAGAAGAUGAAGUAAAAUAUUUGAAUAGUUUUGCGGGGGGGGGGGGGGUUGUUUUUUAAAUCCCUUUCUUUUCUCUUUUUAUUCUUUUCCCAUGCUUCAAUGGACAGUGGAAUUAGAUUGCCAGGGUUGUUGGUCUGUGAAUAUCCAAGCUGCUAUUAUAACCUAUAUUAUCUAUAUUUAUUGCUACCUAUAACACAAGCUGUUAUAGGUAGCAAUAAACACAAGUACUGGCCAGGUUUUAGGUCCCAAACCUGUACCAUAUUAAGAGGUAAGUAGGGGACUAUAAUAAGUGUUAUCUCAGACACCUAUCAUUAUUUUAUGUUCUUCUUGCUAAGUUCAAAGAAACUAAUGAAAGUGGUUUUCUGGGGUUUUUUUACAUUGAAAUUUUGGAUCCUGUCUCAAAUUUCAAUGGGGAAAACAAAGCCCAGAGGGGUAACUCUGUAAGCCUCAAAGGGAUGCAAAAAGGUGGCUGAGUACCUAGGAAUUCACACAAAGGAAAACAACCAGCUAAGAGCAAUUAAUUAAGAACUUGAAAAGAAUGAGAAUGACUCCUGUGAAUCUUAUUGCUUAAUUAGGGCUUUAUGAGCAGCUCUAGUUAAUGGACUUGUCAAUAUACACAAUUUCACUGAAUUAACAAAUUAAUUGUAAUACUUAAAAUCAUGUUUCUACUGACUACUAUUUAGGAGUAUAUAUAAAGCCAACUUGCUGGGUUAUAUAUUUGUCAUUUCUGUAGCCUACGGCCUGAUUCAAAGGAACCCUUAUUUGGCCUUCCUUGUCCUUCAGUAAAGCUCCUUUGAGGUGAGAGUGUUCCCUGCUGCAUGUUAAGGGUAACUUUACUACUCCUCAGGAAAAGGGUAACAUCAUGGACAUGGAAUGGAAUUUAUUUUAGAAUACUUCCAGUGAAGCACAUCCAUUUUCCCCUAAAAACAUCUUACAUUAGUGUGUUAUGAUUGUCGAAAUGAAUAGGCUAAUAUUGAUUCAUUAGUAUUUAAGUCAAUAUUUUAUUUAGGUUUUCUUAGUUUUUUUUUUUUUUUUGUUUUUGUUUUUUUUUUUGUGGUACUGGACAUCAAAUUCAGGACCCUGAGCAAGCUAAGCACGUAUUCUUCCACUGAGUUAUACCUACAGUUCCUCUGAAGUUUUUUUUUUUUUUUUUUUAACCUAAAGUCCUUUUGUUUUAGGAUCCCAGUAAGUAUGCCAUAUUACAGGGCUGGGGGUGUAGCUCAAUGGUAGCAUGCUUGCCUACAACAUGUGAGACACUGGAUACAAUCCUUAGCACUACAUUUUUUAAAAAGGUAUUGUGUCCAUCUACUACUAAAAAUAUUAAAAAAGAAUAUCACAUUACAUUUAGGUUGUCAUGCUUCUCUUGGAAAUACAGUGUUUAUCAGCUGAAAAUAUUUUUUUAAUAUUUAUAUUUUAGUUUUUGGUGGACACAACAUUUUCAUGUGGUGCUAAGGAUCGAACCCAGUGCCCCGCACAUGCCAGGCAAGCGCGUCACUGCUUGAGCCACAUCCCCAGCCCAGCUGAAAAUAUUUUAAUCAGGGUAGUAAAUAAUCAGUUUGAAGGUAAAUGAUAAUUACAGUUAUCUGUUCUAAUUAAAAGGGCAUUUAUAAGAAUCCUAAUAAAAAUUAAAGCUAUUUUACUCUAAUAUUCUUAUGGGAAAAUAAUCUGUAAAAUUAGUCACAACAUUACAAACAGAAUGAAAUACAUAUCAAUUGAGCAGAUAAGGAAGUCCAAAAUUAGGCAUUAAGAUACUGUGAAGUUUUUAAUUGUUCAUGGACCUUUAUUCAUUUCUUUGUAUGCAGGGCUGAGAAUUGAACCCAGUGCCUCACAUAUGUGAGGCAAGCACUCUACUAUUGAGCCGUGAUCCCAGCCUUAACUUCGGAGUUUAAAAAAAAAAUGCUGGGGUUGUGGCUGAGUGGUAGAGCGCUUGCCUGGCAUUUGUGAGGAAUAUGUUUAAAAACAAUAUGACAAUGUUGGGACAACUUGAUAACUGUGUGAGGAAAAAAAAUCCCGUUGAAAUUUUGUGGCACAGAUUUAUAUACAGAAAUUAAAUUUGAGAAGAACAAAGAAAGUGCCUUUUUUAAAAAUAUACUCUUACAGUAAGUUUGCCUUCUAAGUUAAAAACAAAAUGAAUGGUAAAUGACUAGAUUAUUGCAAAUUCUGUAUAAAAAAAUAACUGGAGACACAAACUGGUAAAGAUGUUUGCCAAUUGUUGCUUAUUUGUUUUUGUACUGGGGAUUGAACCCAGGAGUUCUUCUCAGUCACUCUAAGUCAAAUAUAACAACCCAACAUGUCUACAAAAGAAAUAAGCAGCAAGUUUGUUAACUUAAAAAAAGCACAUUUGGGGCUGGGGUUGUGGCUCAGUGAGUGGAGUACUCCCCUAGACAUGAGGCUCUGGGUUUGAUCCUCACCACCACAUAAAAAGAAUGGUGUGUGUGUAUGGUGCUAGGGAUUGAGCCCAUGGCCUUGUGCAUGGGAGGCUAGAAGAUGCUAUGUUUUUUAAAAAAGUGCACAUUUGCUUAGGCAAUAGUGCUGACUAUCCACCAAAUACCUGAGAUAGUCAACUUGGAAAAUGCUGGGCUGGAGCAUUUGCCUUGUAUGGCUCUGUGUUUGAUUACUAGCAUCACCAAAAGUUUAUUUUGGUUCAGCUUUAGAGAUGUUAAUUCAAUCCAUGAUUGAGUCACUCUAUGCUUUGGGCCUAUGGUGAAAAAUACUUCAUAACCACAAAGUAUAAAGGAGGAAGGGACCCCUGUCCAAAUGUCUCUUUCAGGACAUGCCUACAUUGACCUGAAAACACCUAUUGGUAAUGUCAAUAUGGUGACCAAGCCUUUAAUUCAUGAGUCCAAAUUUUGGCACCAAUCCCAAUGUGAUUAAAAUAUGAUGUGAAAAUUAUAUGAAAUUCUGGGGCCAGGAAUGUAGCCUAGUGGAGCAUGUUCUUAUUUCACAUUUCUGGAACAAUAUGUAUGUGAAGUAGUUUUUAUGUAUGGAAAGUGUAGAAUAUAUAAGAAGUGGUUGAUAAUAGUUGCCUUUUUUAAUGUAGGGGAAUAGAGGUUGUCAGGAAGGUGGUCAAAUAGGACCGUAGGGGUCUCAUUGCCUUACAAAAAUUAACAGACCUAUAUCAUUCAUCCUCUAACCCCAGACAGCACACUUCAUAUAAUUUUGGAAGGAGUGAAGUUUGCAGAUUUUCAUUGGACCCCAAUAAUACCCUACUGCAAACCUUGGUAAAGUUCACAAAGUGCACAGGGCCCUGGGUUCAAUCCCCAGCACCACAGAAAGUAGGCUUUAGGUUCACAUCUGAAGGGUACAAGCUUAGCUCACCUACAGAUUUACACUAUGUGGCAUUACCACAAUGUCUGGAUAAGCUAGCAGGUGAAGGGCUUCUCAUCUGAGUCCACUCAAAAAUGCGCAAUACCGGGGCUGGGAUUGUGGCUCAGCAGUAGAGCGCUCUUCUAGCACGUAUGAGGCUCUGGGUUUGAUCCUCAGCAUCACAUAAGAAUGAAAUAAAGAUGUGUCCAACUACAAUUAAAAUUUUUUAAAAAUGUUUAAAAAAUAUUUUUUCUUAAAAAUGUACAACACCAACACAAUAGCCAUAGGGGUCAUUAACAGCCAGGAAACAUGAGCCUACCAAAUGAAGUAUCCCCUGUUCCAGAGUAAUGGAGAUUUACAAGUUGCCUAGGAAUUCAAAAUAAGCUUGAGAUGAUCCAAAUUCUGGACCUGAAGAACACAGUGUCUAUUUCUACCAACCUGUACUCCCUAGCACUUGGGAGACUAAGGCAAGAGGAUUGUGUGUGGCUAACCUACAAAGGACUUAUCUUGAAAAUGACAGGAUGAAAAUGGUAUGUAAGCAAGCAGAAGGCCCUAUAUUCAAUCCCCAGUACCAUAAAAAUAAACUGAAUUUUUCAUAAAGAGCUUCAGCAGACUCCAAGAUGAUGAAUCCUGGAAUGGUGUUAUCUUGGGAGGCUUAGGCAAGAUGGUCCCUUAAGGCCAGCCAGGGCAAUAAUAAGAUCCCAUCUCAGUCAUUUGAAAUUCCUACCUAGGGGAAGUAAAAGCCUGAGACUUAUCAGAUAACAAACAAAUGAAUAUGCAUUGUGGGUGCUUUGGAAGAAGCAAAAUGAAAGUUGCAGGUUUUCGUUAUAAAGUUCCCAAAUUUGGAGAGGGAGAUGAAUAGAUUAAAUAUUAAGAAAUCAUUACUGAGACAAGUUGUAAUCAAGCACUCGGAAGGCAAAGCAUUGCUGGGUGUUGUCUACACUUGUAAUCACAGCAACUCUGGAGGCCGAAGCAAAAGGAUUGUAGUUCUUUCCCAGCUUUAGCAGUUUGACAAGACCCUUUCUCAAAAAGGUAUGGAGGUGCUGGUCACAUGGUAAGCACCUGUAACCCCAGUGGCUUGGGAAACUGAGGCAGAGGAUUAAGAGUUCAAAGCCAGGUUCGGCAACUUAGCAAGGCCUUAAGCAACUUUAGAAGACUGAGUCUGAAUUUUUUUUUAAAAAAAAUGUAAAAGGUCUGGGCAUAUGGCUUAGUGCUUAAGUGCCUCUGGGUUCAAUCCCUGGUACCAAAAAAAAAAGACAGUCCCAGGGCAUUCAAAUCUAUUCCAAUAGAAGAUUCUGAGGCUGAUAUUCUGCUGAAGACAAUAUUGCAUAAGCUCUGACCAUAGGCAAGCAGUCCUCCCCUCCUGACCCCUGUGCUGGGGGUCAAACCUUGUACAUGUUAAGCGCACAUUAUGGACUGGGGUUGUGGCUCAGUAGUAGAGCACUUGCCUCAUACAUGUAGAGCAGUGGGUUCAAUCCUCAGCACCACAUAAAUAAAGGUAUUGUGUCCAUCUGCAACUAAUUUAAAAACACAUUAUACUUUGUUUCCCAUUUACAAGCAAAUGCAUGGCACAUGAUAUUAGUCUCAAAUAUUGACUGCUAGCAGGGUGCAGUGGUGCACACCUGUAAUCUCAGUGACUUGGGAGGCUGAGACAGGAGGAUUUCGAGUUAAGACCCAGCCUCAGCAAUGGUGAGGCACUUAACAACUCAGUGAGACCCUGUCUCUAAAUAAAAUACAAAAUAGGGCUGGGGAUGUGGCUCAGAGGUUGGUUGAAUGCCCCUAAGUUAAAUCCCCAGUACCAAAACACAAACAAAUAUUGACUGCUAAAUGUAAAAAUGAUUGACCUUAAAGGGUAUGGAUACCAUUAUGUAAUCUUUUCUACUUUAUCUAGUUUAAUUCUUUCAAAAUUUAAGAAAAAUAUUAUUGGGCUUGGGGUGUAGCUUAAUGAUAAAAGUCCUUGCUUAGAAUACAUGAGAGCUUGGAUUUGAUCCCCAAAGUGGCGGGGAGGGUGUGGGGGUAUUUAGGGCUAAGGUGGUAGGUAGCUCAUAGAUAAAGUACAUGCUUAUUAGCAUGCACCAGGCCCUUCACUGAGUCCAGCACCAAAAACAAUUUUAUAUAUAUAUAUGUGUGUGUGUGUACAAACAUGUAUUUCUCAUGACUUCCUAUAUUUAACUAAUUUGUAUGUUUUAAUGGAUCUUGUCCUUCAUAUAUGUAUAUUUUCUUCUCAGCUCAAAUACAGAUGUUAUCUUGGCAUUAAAAGUUUCAUCAUUUUGGGCUGGGGAUGUGGCUCAAGCGGUAGCGCGCUCGCCUGGCAUGCGUGCAGCCCAGGUUCGAUCCUCAGCACCACAUACAAACAAAGAUGUUGUGUCUGCCGAAAACU
rnacentral:lncRNA from 1 species